AGGUUAAAAAUUAUCAAGAUUACUAUAUGCUAAAUGCGUUUUAAAUGAUAUACAAGUAAAUUUACAAAUUAACAGUUUUAUCAUAUAUAAGUACAACGAUUAACAAUUAUGUAUUAGCCAUGUAAGAAGAAAAAGAAGAAGAAACAAAGAAAAGGAAAUGAAAACAAGAAGCAAAAGAAGAGAAAAAGAAUAAGAAGAUUUUAAAACAUUACUGUCAAUGAAGUAUAAUCUGAAUAAGUAUUAAUAAAUCAGGCUGCCCUGACCUAGUUCCGAUCGUAACUCCUAUCUCCGGCAAAGAGAAUAAGAGAUGGUGUCCUGAAGUAGUGAAAAUUGCCGCAGGGAAUUGCCGCCCUCCGAGAGCCACAUGCGUAUUAACAAUAAAAGAGAAAGAGAGAGAAAGAGAAAGAGAAAGAGAAAGAGAAAGAGAGAGAGAAAGAAUGCGUAACGAAUCACGUUGUCUUGACUAGCGUUUAUCAACUUUUGCGCUAUAUCUAUAAAGUUUGCCCAUCUUUGAUGGAUGAUUAGAAAAUAAAAUA